AGUGAACGCUGGCGGUAGGCCUAACACAUGCAAGUCGAACGGCAGCACAGUAAGAGCUUGCUCUUACUGGUGGCGAGUGGCGGACGGGUGAGGAAUACAUCGGAAUCUACUUUUUCGUGGGGGAUAACGUAGGGAAACUUACGCUAAUACCGCAUACGACCUACGGGUGAAAGCAGGGGAUCUUCUGACCUUGCGCGACUGAAUGAGCCGAUGUCGGAUUAGCUAGUUGGCGGGGUAAAGGCCCACCAAGGCGACGAUCCGUAGCUGGUCUGAGAGGAUGAUCAGCCACACUGGAACUGAGACACGGUCCAGACUCCUACGGGAGGCAGCAGUGGGGAAUAUUGGACAAUGGGCGCAAGCCUGAUCCAGCCAUACCGCGUGGGUGAAGAAGGCCUUCGGGUUGUAAAGCCCUUUUGUUGGGAAAGAAAAGCAGCAGGUUAAUACCCCGCUGUUCUGACGGUACCCAAAGAAUAAGCACCGGCUAACUUCGUG
rnacentral:rRNA from 1 species